rnacentral:rRNA from 1 species
AUUGAACGCUGGCGGCAGGCCUAACACAUGCAAGUCGAGCGAGCGGCGGACGGGUGAGUAAUGUCUGUGAAACUGCCUGAUGGAGGGGGAUAACUACUGGAAACGGUAGCUAAUACCGCAUACCAUCAGAUGUGCCCACAUGGGAUUAGCUUGUCGGUGGGGUAACGGUUCACCUAGGCGACGAUCCCUAGCUGGUCUGAGAGGAUGCCAAGCCACACUGGAACUGAGACACGGUCCAGACUCCGACGGGAGGCAGCAGUGGGGAAUAUUGCACAAGGGGCGCAAGCCUGAUGCAGCCAUGCCGCGUGUGUGAAGAAGGCCUGCGGGUUGUAAAGCACUUUCAGCGGGGAGGCGUUACCCGCAGAAGAAGCACCGGCUAACUCCGUGCCAGCAGCCGCGGUAAUUC